ACGUCAUUAGCUCAGUUGGAAGAGCGGCAACCUUAUUCCGAAGGUUGGCAGUCCGGGGUUCGAACCCUCGAUGGCGGUCCA
rnacentral:tRNA from 1 species